rnacentral:rRNA from 1 species
AUAAACGGCCGCGGUACUUUGACCGUGCUAAGGUAGCGUAAUCAGUUGGCUUCUAAUUAGGGUCAAGAAUGAAUGGAGUYACGUGGUUCGACUGUCUCCUAAAUAUUUAUUUGAAAUUACUAUAUAGAUGAAAAAGUCUAUAGUUUGAAAAAAGACGAGAAGACCCUUAGAGUUUUACUUAGUGUGAUUUAAAUUAAAUCAUAAUGGUUUUGUUGGGGCAACGUAGGAGCAAAAUUAUUAAUYCUCCUGAAUGAACUAACCGAUUAUUUUAAAUAUGGAAAAACUACCUUAGGGAUAACAGCAUUAUGUAAAAAAUAAGUUUGUGACCUCGAUGUUGGACUGGGAAAUUUAAAGGCUAGCC